rnacentral:lncRNA from 1 species
GGAAAGUGCUUUGUAGCUCUGGAGAGCCCAGAGCUUUUCAGAUGUGUUCCAUUGCAUUCCCUUACCAUUUGGAGUCAAGGCUCAGCUGGUGACAGACGAACUGGUGAGUGCAGGCCACCUCAUAAAAGCAGGCCUCAGCUAGUCAUUGCCUGCCAGAUCCAGUCUGAGUUUCUUAGGAAAAGGUAAAAAUCCAGACAUUAACUUUCCCAUUAAAAUGUAAAAUUAAAAAAUUAAAACAAAAAACUAGUUUAAAUAUUUUAACUCACUGUACGAGUCAAACAGAGUGGCCAUGGGCAGAGACAAUGGGUGCUGUUUUCAUCUCUGCUCUAAGAGCUUUUAUUUGUAUUUUCUAUCUUUUGAAACUUUUGUACUUACUACACUACAAGGAAUAAAUACUGUGGCACUCACAAUAUAUGUUGCCAAUUUGAUAUACUCUAGUGUCCAGCUCUUAUGUGCCUGACAGUGAUAAAGUCCCUUGGGAAGUACAGCUGGCAGGCUGUGUUGUAAGUGUUCCCCAGCUCUUUCUUUAGGGUCACAGCAGCCUGAUGCUGGGAACAUUGUUCUCUAAGCUAUUGUGGCUGUACUUACAGGAAUAUUAGUUCAUAGGUUACUUAUUGGAUUAGAUGUGUGGGGCUACAUAUGACCCCAUCCUGAUAGAAUCUCUUGCAUGGGUCGUACUAUACUGAAGGUGAUAGCUGUAUGAAAGCUUUGCAGUUAGUAGCACUCAUUGGAAGUAGGAGACUCAUCUAGGACUAAGGAAAAAUGUUAGCAAAGGCCAGCAGCUAAUGAGAGUCCUACAAUCACUGUAUGACUCCAAAGGCAAAAGUCUCCAUAUGAGGAAGCCAAGAUUCAGAGAGGGUGAGUAACUUGCUCCAAGAAGUGCAUCUAAGAAGUCUGAAGGUCCUUUUCCUUCCAGAGUUACAGUUGGAAACAGACUCGAUGACAUUGUGAUGAGACUAGCCCACUUUAAGUACCCUCUUGGUAUGUUCAUGCAUUCUAGAAAAUGGGCUGGAUACCUAGAAAGCCAUAAAGCUAGAGAAAUGGGGGAACACUUGGAUAUUCAGAGCUGCAUGCCUAGCUAUGCCGUAAUGCAGAAUUAGUUGUAAGAUGCUUGUUGAGUGCAUGCCUAUUUAUGGUUUUCUUAGUGCAUGUUCUGUUUAGAAAAGUUGAUUUCAUACCCAAGAUGACUUGGUAGACCAAGAACAAUCCCCAGCAAAGUAGCCCACUGGGCUGAUGACGUGGCUUAGUGAGUACACUUAGUGAGUACUUAGUGGUAUUGAGAGAACUGAUAAUUGGAAGUUCUCCUCUCACCUCCACAUACACAGACAAAAUAAAUAAAUAAGCUCUUCUCCUUGGUUUUGUUUGUUUUCUUGUUUGUUUGUUUUUAAAGUAGUCCUGGGCUGGAGAGAUGGGUAGGUGGUUAAGAGUCCCAGUAGCUUUUCCAGCUGACCCAAGUUCAAUGCCCAACCCCCACAUGGCAGCUCACAACUUUCUGUAACUCCAGUCUUGGGGGAUCUGAAGCCUUCUUCUGCCCUCUGUAGAUAGUAUAUACACAUGCUACAUGGGCGUACAUGCAAAGUACCCACACAUAUAAAAUAACAAAUGUUCUGGGCUGGGUGUGGUGGUUCAUACUUGUAAUCCUAACCAACACUUUGGAGGCUGAGACAGGAGGAUUCUAAGUUUGAGACAGCUUGGGCUAUAUAAUGAGACUGUGUCUCAAAUUGCUGCC